AGCAGCCGCGGUAAUUCCAGCUCCAAUAGCGUAUAUUAAAGUUGUUGCAGUUAAAAAGCUCGUAGUUGAAUUUCGGGAUCAAUAUGUCGGUCGUGCCUUCGGUACGUACUGGUAUCAUUGGUUUCUCCUUUCUGACGAGCCAUGAUGUCAUUAAUUUGGUGUUAUGGGGAGUUAGGACUGUUACUUUGAAAAAAUUAGAGUGUUUAAAGCAGGCUUUAGCUUGAAUACAUUAGCAUGGAAUAAUGAAAUAGGACGUUCGAACCUAUUUUGUUGGUUUCUAGGAUCAACGUAAUGAUUAAUAGGGAUAGUUGGGGGCAUUAGUAUUCAAUUGUCAGAGGUGAAAUUCUUGGAUUUAUUGAAGACUAACUACUGCGAAAGCAUUUGCCAAGGAUGUUUUCAUUAAUCAAGAACGAAAGUUAGGGGAUCGAAGACGAUCAGAUACCGUUGUAGUCUUAACCAUAAACUAUGCCGACUAGGGAUCGGAUGAUGUUAAUUUUUUAAUGACUCA
rnacentral:rRNA from 1 species